GGCAAGGUGGCCGAGUGGUUAAGGCGCAGCACUUGAAUUAUUUCUAGUUCUGACAUGCUGUUCAUUCGUGAUCGUAGGUUCGAAUCCUGCCCUUGUCG